rnacentral:lncRNA from 1 species
UGACAUGGCCCUCAGCAACCACACAAGGUCAAACACUGCAUGAUCAACUCUGGACCCUGUUCUCAUCAGAGAGGAAGGCAGACUAUGGACAGUCACUGCCCUAUCACCCAGGCUUAGGGCUUCUGAGGAUAUGGGCAGUAGCCAGAACUGACUCACUUUGCUGUGUUACUGGGCAGGCCUGUGUGACAUGGGCCUCAGCAACCACACAAGGUCAAACACUGCAGGAUCAACUCUGGACCCUGCUGUCAUCAGAGAGGAAGGCAGACUAUGGGCAGUCACUGCCCUAUCACCCAGGCUUAGGUGAACUUACCCUGCUCCAUCACUGUAGGACAGAAACCACUAUGCUGAAAGAUAGGAGCAGGAACCAGGAAGCAGCUCCUGCCUGGGGAGGAGCCAUGAGAAGGAAGUCUCUAGAAAGAUUGACGUGCUGUAAAGCCCAGCCAUUCCUCAGGAGGAUAUUGGACACUGGAGGAUGGGUCACAAACAUCCAGGGGCCAGGAGGAAGCUUGGAGCUUUCCAGACAGAACAAACAAGAGCAGUGUCCAGCAACAAUGUAAAGGGACCUGGAGAAAAAGAGGACACUUAGUAGCACCUGGACCCCUCUGUCCUCUGCAAGCAUGGAGCCCUCCAUAUGAAGCAGUGUGGACUGCCAUUUCAUUGUGGAACAUUGGAGGACUGUUUGGUUUGGAACUCACU